AAGGCUUUAAGUUAAAUAAACUAAUAGUCUUCAAAACUAUAAAUAUAAGAGAUCUUUUAAGCUUUA
rnacentral:tRNA from 1 species